UACCAGCACCCCGAGUGGUCGGGACGAUUAUUGGGCCUAAAGCAUCCGUAGCCGGUACUGCAAGUCUUCCGUUAAAUCCACCUGCUCAACAGUUGGGCUGCGGAGGAUACUACAGCGCUAGGAGGCGGGAGAGGCAAGCGGUACUCAGUGGGUAGGGGUAAAAUCCACUGAUCCAUUGAAGACCACCAGUGGCGAAGGCGGCUUGCCAGAACGCGCUCGACGGUGAGGGAUGAAAGCUGGGGGAGCAAACCGG
rnacentral:rRNA from 1 species